UACGAAGGGGGCUAGCGUUGUUCGGAAUUACUGGGCGUAAAGCGUAUGUAGGCGGAUCUUUAAGUCAGAGGUGAAAUCCCAAGGCUCAACCUUGGAACUGCCUUUGAUACUGGAGAUCUUGAGUCCGGGAGAGGUGAGUGGAACUGCGAGUGUAGAGGUGAAAUUCGUAGAUAUUCGCAAGAACACCAGUGGCGAAGGCGGCUCACUGGCCCGGUACUGACGCUGAGGUGCGAAAGCGUGGGGAGCAAACAGG
rnacentral:rRNA from 1 species